AGUUAAGCCUGCAUCUUAAAUUGGCAAUACUACAAGCAGUAGAGGUUGUAUUAGGAAAGAUUUCAAGGAAUAUAUUUUCAUCUUCUCCUGGUGUCAGUUAUCAAAAGGUACUUUCAGACCAAUGCUGUUUUUGAAACUCCUCAAUCACGUACAUUUAACAGAACACAAAGUAAAAUGCGCCCAGUCUGGGAUGAUGAACUCCUGUUGUCAAAUUACAACGUUUUCAAAGAGGUGGUGUGAGCUAAGGUUUUUCAAAACUCUGCUUGUGUGCAAAACUUUUCAUUUUCAGUUGGACAGUUCUACUAUAUUCACUACAUAUACUGACAACGCAGUGGUAGCUUUUUCAUAGGGGCACUUAAGGCUGCGCUCCACCAGAUACUGGUCAUAAUCUAUUGCCAGUGGUAACAUAAAGUAAACUACUGACAUUGCUUUCCUUUGUGAAAGGGCAAAUUUGAAUUGUAAAAGCUAAAUAUGCACCACACGCAACUGCAGUGCUACCAUCCCCCCUCUCCUUCUUCCACUACAGCACUAACUGACUCACUGUUAAUGAUGACUGUCUGGAUAUGCUGUUGAAAGCAACUGGGCUUGUGUAGAAUUUAGGUCAAUUGUGAAAUGUGUCCAGUCUGAGAGUACCUCAGAUAUGCCCGAUAUGCCCAUAGGGGAGAUUCUACUCCAUUUAAUCUCAGGUUGAGUUUCUG